CGGAUUGCAGGCUGCAACCCGCCUGUAUGAAGUUGGAAUCGCUAGUAAUCGCGGAUCAGCAUGCCGCGGUGAAUACGUUCCCGGGCCUUGUACACACCGCCCGUCACACCAUGAGAGUCGGGAACACCCGAAGUCCGUAGCCUAACCGCAAGGGGGCGCGGCCGAAGGUGGGUUCGAUAAUUGGGGUGAAGUCGUAACAAGGUAUC
rnacentral:rRNA from 1 species